GGAAGGAACUCAGAUAAAAACAAAUGUGCAAGAUCAUAUGAUAACAUGAGACAGCAGAGAGGAGAAGACCCCUGUCUCACAGCCAGUAAGUGGUAGGGCUGAGGUUUGAACUCGGGUUUCUCCAACUCCAAAGCCUGGGCUCUUUCCUUCAUGCAGUCUCCACACAAGAACUUGCACAGGUGCUCAAGGGUGCUGAGGAGGAGUGUUUGGUUGAAGAUGCAAGAAGAGAGAGAGAUUAAAUGGGAGUGGGCUUAGAUGAGGGAGGAAGAAGAUGAUGGGGAAGGAAGGUGGCAGACGGACUGAGUGAUGGAGAAGGGAGGUGGGGGAGGGAAGGGUCACAGGGUUCUGCUUUGACAGGGAUUUGGGAUCCCAAGAAUGGAGCUUUUUUUCCACACUGUGCCUUGCUGGAAUCACCUCACGUCCCCACAUGCGAUGAGCUCAUCCUUCUCUUGGCACCACCUGCCUCUCAUCUUGGCCCUGGCUGGGACGCACCAACGUUUCUGCAGGAGGAAUAAAGCAAUAACAGGAAUCUCAUUUUUCUCCUUAAAAUAAUAUCUCUCUGUUCUGCCAGCAAGCAGGGAGCUACUCCUGCCAGCACUCCAGUGGGAAGCCUGUUCCCAAUCCGAUAGGAUUAGUCUGAUACUGGCUUCCCAGGAGCCCCCAGUAGCCAAGGCAGCCCUCAGGUGACCUUGAGCUCCUGGCUACAGAUCCCCUGAUGUCCUUCUCAGCCCCCAGAUAGUCACUCACCUCCAUGCCUCCAUCCCAGGCUCUCCAGGGCAAAGGGAUGCUAUUCUCACUAGUCCCAGGCUCCCCUAGCUGGUAGCUCCUUCACCAUCUCUCUAGGACCUAACCAAUUUCCUACAAGGAAAGGAUCACUGGAAAAACCAUUUUGAACAGGAAGAAUUUAAUUUUUUUGCAACAGGCUUUCCCCUCUUUAAAGAAAAGAAAGAAAAAAGAGUCCUCAUUUACCUAAAGGUCUGAGUGCCUGGAAAUUUCUUCCCUGUGUGCACAUUACCCACUUCCUGGCUGCAGGGAUGGAAGGACUCGGAGAAUUCGAAGGAUAUUAAACAGAUUCAUAAUGGACUCAGCAGUAUAAACAUGUCUCAAGUGCAGACAGAAAUGCCACAAGCUCCUACUUGGUUUAAUGAAAACAUACACCAGUUGUGUCUGUGUUCCCAUUUUACAAAUAAACAAGGUGGGGAGAUGGACUCGGAAAUUGUCCCUGGGGAGCCAGGUGCCUCUGUUCAUUGCAAUUUCAAUGGCUUCUCCUGCCCACAAACAACUCGGAAAAGAACGCUUAAUGUAGCCUUGCAGAUCAGUGCCAAAAGGCACAGCAAAUGGGAGACGCCUGGCCAAAUGGUCCGCAGCCAUUCCUGUUCUUUGUGGUGAUGCUCCGC
rnacentral:lncRNA from 1 species